rnacentral:rRNA from 1 species
UACGGAGGGGGCUAGCGUUGUUCGGAAUUACUGGGCGUAAAGCGCGCGUAGGCGGACCUGCAAGUCGGGGGGUGAAAGCCCGAGGCUCAACCUCGGAACUGCCUUCGAUACUGCGGGUCUCGAGUCCGGGAGAGGUGAGUGGAAUUCCUAGUGUAGAGGUGAAAUUCGUAGAUAUUAGGAAGAACACCAGUGGCGAAGGCGGCUCACUGGCCCGGUACUGACGCUGAGGCGCGAAAGCGUGGGGAGCAA